UACAGAGGGUGCAAACGUUGUUCGGAAUUACUGGGCUUGAAGCGCACGUAGGCGGCGUUGUAAGUGUCGGGUGAAAUCCCACGGCUCACCCGUGGAACUGCCUGGCAUACUGCGAUGCUAGAGUGUGGUAGGGGAGAGCGGAACUCCUGGUGGAGCGGUGAAAUGCGUAGAUAUCAGGAGGAACACCGGUGGCGAAGGCGGCUCUCUGGUCCACAACUGACGCUGAGGUGCGAAAGCUAGGGGAGCAAACGGG
rnacentral:rRNA from 1 species